rnacentral:rRNA from 1 species
AAUAGAUACCCAGGUAGUCCACGCCCUAAACGAUGUCAACUAGUUGUUGGGGAUUCAUUUCCUCAGUAACGUAGCUAACGCGUGAAGUUGACCGCCUGGGGAGUACGGUCGCAAGAUUAAAACUCAAAGGAAUUGACGGGGACCCGCACAAGCGGUGGAUGAUGUGGAUUAAUUCGAUGCAACGCGAAAAACCUUACCUACCCUUGACAUGCCACUAACGAAGCAGAGAUGCAUUAGGUGCCCGAAAGGGAAAGUGGACACAGGUGCUGCAUGGCUGUCGUCAGCUCGUGUUGUGAGAUGUUGGGUUAAGUCCCGCAACGAGCGCAACCCUUGUCUUUAGUUGCUACGCAAGAGCACUCUAGAGAGACUGCCGGUGACAAACCGGAGGAAGGUGGGGAUGACGUCAAGUCCUCAUGGCCCUUAUGGGUAGGGCUUCACACGUCAUACAAUGGUGCGUACAGAGGGUUGCCAACCCGGCGAGGGGGAGCUAAUCCCAGAAAACGCAUCGUAGUCCGGAUCGUAGUCUGCAACUCGAC